UACGUAGGGUGCGAGCGUUGUCCGGAAUUAUUGGGCGUAAAGGGCUCGUAGGCGGUUUGUCGCGUCGGGAGUGAAAACCCAGGGCUUAACUCUGGGCUUGCUUUCGAUACGGGCAGACUAGAGGUAUGCAGGGGAGAACGGAAUUCCUGGUGUAGCGGUGAAAUGCGCAGAUAUCGGGAAGAACACCCGUGGCGAAGGCGGCUCUCUGGGACGGUACUGACGCUGAGACGCGAAAGCGUGGGGAGCGAACAGG
rnacentral:rRNA from 1 species